CUGAUUAUACUGUGAGAACGAAAGUUCUUGCUUUUAACUAGAUAACAACUUUCAGCAGUGGAUGUCUAGGCUCGCACAUCGAUGAAGAACGCUGCGAACUGCGAUACGUAAUGCGAAUUGCAGAAUUCAGUGAGUCAUCGAAAUUUUGAACGCAUAUUGCACUUCCGGGUUAUGCCUGGAAGUAUGUCUGUAUCAGUGUCCGUAAAUCAACCUUGCCUUUCUUCCUUCUGUGUAGUCAGUGGAGGAUGUGGCAGACGUGAAGUGUCUCGCUGUGGCUGGUUUUUGGUCGUUUCGGCUAUGAAUACAGUUUGCGAGUCCUUUUAAAUGGACACGACUUUCUCUUUUUUGUUUCUGCGAGGUGCUGUGCUCGAACGCGGUGGUUUUCGGAUCGCUCGCGGCUGUUGGCGACUUCGGUGAAUGCAUUAUGGAGUGGACCUCGAUUCGCGGUAUGUUGGGCUUCGGCUGGACAAUGUUGCUUAUUGUGUGUUUGUUCCGCGUUCGCCUUGAGGUGUACUUUCUGCUGUGUGCUUGAACUGGGAUCUGCUUUGUUAGUAGUGCGCGGUGAUCGUUAUUCGCGGAGACAUCUGUUGUUGCGCACGCUGUUUGUGUGUGCUUGAGCAGAAGAGAGGUUUGAAUUUGGGAAAGUAGU
rnacentral:rRNA from 1 species